AGAUUGAACGCUGGCGGCAUGCUUUACACAUGCAAGUCGAGCGGCAGCGCGGGGGCAACCCUGGCGGCGAGCGGCGAACGGGUGAGGAAUACAUCGGAACGUACCCCGGAGUGGGGGAUAACGCCGCGAAAGCGGCGCUAAUACCGCAUAUGCUCUGUGGAGGAAAGUGGGGGACCUGUGAGGGCCUCACGCUCUGGGCGCGGCCGAUGUCCGAUUAGCUAGUUGGUGAGGUAAUGGCUCACCAAGGCGACGAUCGGUAGCUGGUCUGAGAGGAUGAUCAGCCACACUGGGACUGAGACACGGCCCAGACUCCUACGGGAGGCAGCAGUGGGGAAUUUUGGACAAGUGGGGGCAACCUGAUCCAGCCAUGCCGCGUGCGGGAAGAAGGCCGUUCGGUUGUAAACCGUCGUUUAGUCGGGUAAGAAAAGGUUACUACCGUAAGUAAGGUAGUACUAGUGUACGGUACCGACGGUAAGUAAGCAACCGGACUAACGUACGU
rnacentral:rRNA from 1 species